rnacentral:lncRNA from 1 species
CAUGCAACAAAAGCGCGAUAAAAUGACACCUUACUAGUAUAAUAAAAAAAAGGCGGUGCACACCCUACCUAAAAGUCAAGAGAUUUUUUUUCUUUCUGGGAUUCCUUUAAAUGACAUAUAAUAAAUACACCUUUUUAAAAAUGCUAAUGCAUGUACACCCAUUGAUAUUAUAUCGUCUUUGAAAAUGUUGUUUUUAAAAUAAUACGAC